rnacentral:rRNA from 1 species
UACAGAGGUCUCAAGCGUUGUUCGGAUUCAUUGGGCGUAAAGGGUGCGUAGGCGGCGCGGUAAGUCGGAUGUGAAAUCUCGGAGCUUAACUCCGAAACUGCAUUCGAUACUGCCGUGCUUGAGGACUGGAGAGGAGACUGGAAUUUACGGUGUAGCGGUGAAAUGCGUAGAUAUCGUAAGGAAGACCAGUGGCGAAGGCGGGUCUCUGGACAGUUACUGACGCUGAGGCACGAAGGCCAGGGGAGCAAACGGG